rnacentral:rRNA from 1 species
UGUCUUCUAGUGGGGGAUAACUGCCCGAAAGGGCAGCUAAUACCGCAUGAGACCUGAGGGUGAAAGCGGGGGAUCGCAAGACCUCGCGCUGGAAGAGCGGCCGAUGUCCGAUUAGCUAGUUGGUGAGGUAAAGGCUCACCAAGGCGACGAUCGGUAGCUGGUCUGAGAGGACGACCAGCCACACUGGGACUGAGACACGGCCCAGACUCCUACGGGAGGCAGCAGUGGGGAAUUUUGGACAAUGGGGGCAACCCUGAUCCAGCCAUGCCGCGUGCAGGAUGAAGGUCUUCGGAUUGUAAACUGCUUUUGUCAGGGACGAAAAGGGAUGCGAUAACACCGCAUUCCGCUGACGGUACCUGAAGAAUAAGCACCGGCUAACUACGUGCCAGCAGCCGCGGUAAUACGUAGGGUGCAAGCGUUAAUCGGAAUUACUGGGCGUAAAGCGUGCGCAGGCGGUUCUGUAAGAUAGAUGUGAAAUCCCCGGGCUCAACCUGGGAAUUGCAUAUAUGACUGCAGGACUUGAGUUUGUCAGAGGAGGGUGGAAUUCCACGUGUAGCAGUGAAAUGCGUAGAUAUGUGGAAGAGCACCGAUGGCGAAGGCAGCCCUCUGGGACAUGACUGACGC